rnacentral:lncRNA from 1 species
CGAUAAUAAUCCAAGAACCGUUCACCAUCACCUAUUAAAAGGUUUUCAUUGAACAUGGCUAUUCCUACUCCCUCUAAUCUCAUGCAUCUCUCUUUUUUUUUGGAAUAAUCUCAUGCAUCUCUUAAGGAUCUAAAUAUCAUAUUAACAAACAUAGCAAGUAUGAAGCAUAAUUCAUUUCCCAAUUCUUUAACUAACGUCCAUGGCAUUACGUGAAUGGCAAGACUUACAAAGUUUGUUAAGUCAUUUAGGUAGUGAGUAGAUUGUAUGGAUGGCAAGC